rnacentral:rRNA from 1 species
GCUCGAGUGGCGAACGGGUGAGUAACACGUGAGUAACCUGCCCUUGACUUUGGGAUAACUUCAGGAAACUGGGGCUAAUACCGGAUAGGAGCUCCUGCUGCAUGGUGGGGGUUGGAAAGUUUCGGCGGUUGGGGAUGGACUCGCGGCUAAUCAGCUUGUUGGUGGGGUAGUGGCUUACCAAGGCUUUGACGGGUAGCCGGCCUGAGAGGGUGACCGGCCACAUUGGGACUGAGAUACGGCCCAG